AGAGUUUGAUCCUGGCUCAGGAUGAACGCUAGCGGGAGGCUUAACACAUGCAAGUCGUGGGGCAGCACAGGUAGCAAUACUGGGUGGCGACCGGCGCACGGGUGAGUAACGCGUAUGUAACCUACCCUGUACAGGGGGAUAGCCCGGAGAAAUUCGGAUUAAUACCCCAUAAUGAUACCGAGGGGCAUCUUUUGGUAUUUAAAGUUUCGGCGGUACAGGAUGGGCAUGCGUAACAUUAGCUAGUUGGUAGGGUAACGGCCUACCAAGGCGACGAUGUUUAGGGGUCCUGAGAGGGUGAUCCCCCACACUGGUACUGAGACACGGACCAGACUCCUACGGGAGGCAGCAGAGAGGAAUAUUGGUCAAUGGGCGCAAGCCUGAACCAGCCAUCCCGCGUGAAGGAAGACGGCCCUAUGGGUUGUAGACUUCUUUUCCAGGGGAAUAAAAUGAACUACGUGUAGUUUACUGAAAGUACUCUGGGAAUAAGCAUCGGCUAACUCCGUGCCAGCAGCCGCGGUAAUACGGAGGAUGCGAGCGUUAUCCGGAUUUAUGGGGUUAAAGGGUGCGUACGCGGAUCAAUAAGUCAGUGGUGAAAAACUGCAGCCUAAACUGUAGANCUGCCAAUUGAUACCUGU
rnacentral:rRNA from 1 species